UACGUAGGGUGCAAGCGUUGCCCGGAUUUAUUGGGCGUAAAGGGCGCGUAGGCGGCUCUGCACGUCCGUUGUGAAAUCGCCCGGCUCAACUGGGCGGGGUCAGCGGAUACGGCAGAGCUUGAGCAAGCUAGGGGGCAAUGGAAUUCCCGGUGUAGUGGUGGAAUGCGUAGAUAUCGGGAGGAACACCAGUGGCGAAGGCGGCUUCCUGGUCUGCGACUGACGCUGUGGCGCGAAAGCUAGGGGAGCGAACGGG
rnacentral:rRNA from 1 species